GGGCGUUUGAUCAUGGCUCAGGACAAACGCUGGCGGCGUGCGUAACACAUGCAAGUCGAACGGCCUGGAUUCUUUCGGGGAUGCAGGUAGUGGCGGACGGGUGAGUAACACGUGGAUAACCUGCCCCGCUGUGGGGGAUACCGCUCAGAAAUGAGGGUUAAUACCGCAUGCGAUGGGAGGGAGGGGAGACCCUCCGUCUCAAGGAAGCUUUCCGGGUCGAGAGACUGGGAGGCGCAGUGGGAGGGGUCCGCGGCCGAUUAGCUAGUUGGUGUGGUAAGAGCGCACCAAGGCGACGAUCGGUAGCUGGUCUGAGAGGAUGGUCAGCCACACUGGGAUUGAGAACGGCCCAGACUCCUACGGGGGGCAGCAGUGAGGGAUCUUCGGCAAUGGGGGCAACCCUGACCGAGCAACGCCGCGUGCGGGACGACGCUUUUCGGAGUGUAAACCGCUUUUCUGGGGGACGAGGGAGUACGGACGGUACCCCAGGAAGAAGUCUCGGCUAACUACGUGCCAGCAGCCGCGGUAAUAGCU
rnacentral:rRNA from 1 species